rnacentral:rRNA from 1 species
GGGACGAACGCUGGCGGCGUGCUUAACACAUGCAAGUCGAGCGGUGAUCCUCCUUCGGGAGGUGAUCAGCGGCGAACGGGUGAGUAACACGUGGGCAACCUGCCCCUCACACUGGGAUAACCUCGGGAAACCGGGCUAAUACCGGAUACGACCUCGAGCGGCAUCUCUUGAGGUGGAAAGCUCCGACGGUGAGGGAUGGGCCCGCGGCCUAUCAGCUUGUUGGUGGGUAAUGGCCUACCAAGGCGACGACGGGUA